UACGUAGGGUGCAAGCGUUGUCCGGAAUUAUUGGGCGUAAAGAGCUCGUAGGCGGUUUGUCGCGUCGGCUGUGAAAACCUAGGGCUCAACUCCGAGCUUGCAGUCGAUACGGGCAGGCUAGAGUUCGGCAGGGGAGACUGGAAUUCCUGGUGUAGCGGUGAAAUGCGCAGAUAUCAGGAGGAACACCGGUGGCGAAGGCGGGUCUCUGGGCCGAUACUGACGCUGAGGAGCGAAAGCGUGGGGAGCGAACAGG
rnacentral:rRNA from 1 species